UAUCGCCCAACAGGACAAAGUUAAACAGCCUAAAUAAAGUAUUUUGAAACGAUUCAUGGAAUAAAAACGGCGAAUAUCAUAUUUAUAUGUUUGUAAAAAUGAAAAGCAAAACAGAUAAGAACAAAACAAAAAAGCACUGAAAUGGUCGUAGGUUUUUCGAUACGAACACUUUCUUUGUUCAUUCGAAGUCAAGCAAGCUCAAUCUCUUCACGCGUUAUUCCAUUUCAUUGUAAAAUCUCGCAUUUAUACUGUUUUUUUUUAGAAUUUCAUUGGUGAUACCAUGAGUAAUAAACUGCGUCACUAUUUCGAUUUUUGUGUUCAAAUCCGAAGCCAUAAAACUUUCUUUUUCAAACUAAAUGAAGACUGCUUCAACGAGAUAUUCAACCGGUUACCGCUCAAAGACUUAAAUUCAUUAGCCCAAACAUGUAAGCGUCUACAUGAUUUCACAUCUAAAUACUUUCAGCAACAUUUUGCAACCGUUGAAGUGCACUAUGGCAAAGAUGGUCCAAUUGCGUUCGAGUCGAUUCGUGUGGAUGCCUUCAGUCAGUUUAUUCAAAGGCUUUCGAUUCAUCGGGUUGAUUUGUGUUCGUUUCGUAAUAUUGCAGCCACAUUCAAAUCACUCAAGGAGCUCAAUUUGAUGGGCCUUCAUCUAACUGCGCCAAAAAUAGAGUGUUUGAAGAAAAUCUUCGAAAAAAUUGAAAUCCUAAAAAUACGAGACAUUGAAAUUGAAGCCGAUGGUUUGCAUUUUUUGAAGUUUUGCAACAAUUUGCAGCGGUUAAGUGUUCGGAAUUUGAAAACGAUCAAUACAAGUUUUGAGAUGGAUAAGCAAAGUUCAAGCUUAACAGUGGAUAAUGGUUGGUUGCGUCAAAAAUACCCGAAUUUGAAGCAUUUUGAAUUGAUCGAAGUGGAAAUUCUCAAAUUCUGUGAUGUGCUGGCAUUUUUCAAGGAAAAUCCAAAUAUUCGUAGCUUUUCAACCGAUACGAAAUUCCUCUCGCGAUUCGAACACUUGAUCACAGAGGUCAACGUAAGCCUUAAUGAUUUAACUAUUGUUAGAGAUUGUAAGGAUGAUUUGAUCAAUCAAUCCAUUUCCAUUCAAUUGAAUCAUCUGCACAAACUGGGCUUUUAUGAGCGCUUACAUUGGAUCGGUGCUUAUUUACCCUUUGAAGGACGCACUCUCCAAACCCAAAUCGAUCAACUGUCUCGAUUGCAACCAUUGAAAACAUUACGCUUCAAAGCACUGGUCUAUGUAAUACCACAUGUGGAUCUGUCAGAGCUGAUCAAUGUCACAGAGCUUAGCAUGAUCGAUCCACAAAUGGGCACUAGCAUCGGAAAAUUAGCCAGCGAACUUUUGAAUCUGGAACGAAUCUCUUUCACACAUGCAUUUUUGGAUGACAUCACACCAUUCGUAGUAUGCUCGAAGAAACUGAAGGAAAUUCACUUGUACGGAGAUAUUCGUAGUAGUAACGAUAUUAUUUAUCUCAGAACGCUGAAUAAAUCACGAACAAAGUUGGAGGGAGCAAGCAAAGUAACGAUUCAUGCCAAUGAUACGAUUUAUACAGAAACAAAGUGGGCAAUCGGAGAGACUAACUUUCGUUUGAUUGAAUUAAAAAGAAGUUGAAUUUAGUGAACGCCCAUCAUCUUUGACAUUUCAAGGGCAUUUUUUUUUUUUUUGAAUAAACUGCAACUUUUUACAAUUUUAACAUUUCGAAAGUCAAUUUCUUUAAUAAUUAUAAUGAUCAUGAAUUCAAUGAAAAAGGUUUUCUACUGGAUUCUUUUCGCGGCCAAAGUACCACAAGAGCCAGUGUCGGCACCGUUUUACCUAUUGGAUGCUGAUUGUUUUGACAAGAUUUUCGAGUGGUUGUCAUUGGAGGACUUACAAUCGCUGAGCACUGUGUCUAAACGUGUACAACGAGAGGUUGGUCGUUAUUUCCAGCAAAACUAUUCAGGAGUCAAUGUAUACUGCACCCGAGACAGAGAUGGUCUCACAGCCUUUGUUUCCGUUUCGAUGAAUGGUUUCAGUGAAUACAUCGAAAAGUUGACCGUUUCAGAUGGUGAUUUCCAGAAUUUCAUCUUCAUUUCACAAUAUUGCAUAUCGCUGAAGGAGAUCCACUUCGUCCAUACUACAUUAACUACCCGCAAAAUAAGGUGUAUCAAAAAGGUGCUCGAAAAAAUCGAAACGUUAAACAUAAACGGUGGAAAAAUCAAUGGUGAUUUCAAUAGUUUGAUGCUUAAACAUUGUCCAAAUUUGAAACGUCUCUUCAUUCAAAACAUCAAAAUCAAAUCUAGAUUCGACAGUGUAAACGAUUGGCUAUUGAAAGAGUACCCGAAUUUGGAGUAUUUGGAGCUACUUGGCUACAAAAAUCUAAGAAUGAGUGAGAUUAAGAGAUUUUUUACGUUGAACUCAAAUAUUCGAAGCUUUUCAAUCAACGCUCAUUUGAUUGACCUAUUUUCGAUUGGACUCAAGGAAAUGGACAUCAGUUUAGAUGACCUUACGGUUCUAAUUGAUCACAAUGAACGUAAAAUGAUGAGUUCGAUUUGUAGUGUAUUGAAUACGCUGCAUGAACAUGGUUUUUAUAAGCGAUUGCAUUUGAGAAGUAAUGAAAUUUGCUUCUUUUGUAACCAAUAUUUCUAUCAUUUGGGUUCACUUCGGGCACUCGAAUCACUGAACUGUGAACAUCUGUUUGCGCCCAUCACAAGUAAUGACUUAUUUCCAUUGAUUAGUGUCACAAAAGUGGAAAUCUUCAGCUCGGAAUGCUGCGUAAAAACUUCGAUCUUGGCAAAAGAUCUCAUCAAUUUGGAACGCAUCACUUUUACAUAUGCUAAGCUUGAUCACAUACUACCACUCAUUUUUUUCGCAUCGAAUUUAAAGGAAAUCACCUUGAAGAAAGGCAUUCGUGCUGGCACCCAUAUUAUACCUCUACCCAUGCUCAACAAACGACGCGCUAGUCUAGUCAAUGCUUGCAAAAUAACCUUUUUCGUCAACUGCAAAAUGUAUAUGGACACGAAGACAAAUAUCGGCAGAACAAACUUCGAUUUCAUUGAAUUAACACGAAUAUGAUUUUGAACAUACUCAGAACUCUUCACAGUUUUUUUUUUCUAUUUCUACGUCAAUUGCUUGAGUAAUAUACUUGAUUAAUUCAUUAUAUUGAAAACAAACAUGCACAAUA